rnacentral:lncRNA from 1 species
ACUUUCCACUCUGGUGAAUGAACCAAGACAAGGCUACCAGUCAGCGCUGUGGUGCAGAACACAGGGAGCUUGUGGAGAACAGGGAAAUGACCACAAUGGCCAGGACUAAGUUAAACAGAAUCUCCUGAGUGUCUGCCACAUCCAAGAUUGUGAAACACUGGGAGUUCCAAAGAACUGGAAAUGGUGAUGGAAUAUGACACAGACACUGAAAUAUUGAGUGAUGGAAACAAACCCAACGCUUGAGAUGUAGCCGGUGCCUCUUGCUGCUGAGAAGUAACUUACUGAAAAGCACACGCAGAAGUAACCACAUUUUUCUUAUAUUCAUCACCUGAUUUCAGGAGAGAACAUUUUAAAUCUGUGCCCUGGAGGAAACAUUUGAGAAGAGGCCUGCCAAUCUUUGUUAAUUGCAAAGUAAACAGAUCUUUCCAGUGUUAUUUGUUCCUAUUCUGAGCAUGCAUAUUAUCUC